rnacentral:rRNA from 1 species
AUUGAACGCUGGCGGCAUGCCUUACACAUGCAAGUCGAACGGUAACGGGCCUUCGGGUGCCGACGAGUGGCGAACGGGUGAGUAAUGUAUCGGAACGUACCUUUCAGUGGGGGGAUAACGUAGCGAAAGUUACGCUAAUACCGCAUAUUCUGUGAGCAGGAAAGCAGGGGAUCGCAAGACCUUGCGCUGAUUGAGCGGCCGAUAUCAGAUUAGCUAGUUGGUGAGGGAAAGGCUCACCAAGGCUACGAUCUGUAGCGGGUCUGAGAGGAUGAUCCGCCACACUGGAACUGAGACACGGUCCAGACUCCUACGGGAGGCAGCAGUGGGGAAUUUUGGACAAUGGGGGCAACCCUGAUCCAGCCAUGCCGCGUGAGUGAAGAAGGCCUUCGGGUUGUAAAGCUCUUUCGGCCGGGAAGAAAUCGUAUCAGCUAAUACCUGGUGCGGAUGACGGUACCGGCAUAAGAAGCACCGGCUAACUACGUGCCAGCCGCCGCCGUAACAC